rnacentral:tRNA from 3 species
CGCGGGGUAGAGCAGCUUGGUAGCUCGUCGGGCUCAUAACCCGGAGGUCGUAGGUUCAAAUCCUGCCCCCGCAACCA